UCAUGGCUCAGGAUGAACGCUGGCGGCGUGCUUAACACAUGCAAGUCGAACGAAGACAUCUGAGUGCUUGCACUUGGAUGGACUGAGUGGCGGACGGGUGAGUAACGCGUGGGUAACCUGCCUUAUACAGGGGGAUAACAGUUGGAAACGACUGCUAAUACCGCAUAAGCGCACAGGAUUGCAUGAUCUGGUGUGAAAAACUCCGGUGGUAUAAGAUGGACCCGCGUCUGAUUAGCUGGUUGGUGAGGUAACGGCCCACCAAGGCGACGAUCAGUAGCCGACCUGAGAGGGUGACCGGCCACAUUGGGACUGAGACACGGCCCAAACUCCUACGGGAGGGCAGCAGUGGGGGAAUAUUGCACAAUGGGGGAAACCCUGAUGCAGCGACGCCGCGUGAGCGAAGAAGUAUUUCGGUAUGUAAAGCUCUAUCAGCAGGGAAGAAAAAAAUGACGGUACCUGACUAAGAAGCCCCGGCUAACUACGUG
rnacentral:rRNA from 1 species